GUGAUCGGAAAUGUCUUGCCCAAAAGCCAUUCCCGCUGGAAAAAGUCAAAAGGGUUCCUGGCAUUAAAACGACCUUGCGUCAUUCCUGAUGAAAUUAGCAGAACUGCUUGUUUAGAGCUUUGCUAAGGAUGCACUUUGGUCACAGUAAGAAGUAAGAGAUUUGGGGUUUAACCCCCCGUCUGAGCAAGAGCCGUCUGCUUUCACUAGCUGCAAAGCCCGAGACCAGCACUCGAAAGCGCCUUAGACCCGCAGUCCAUUUUUCACUUGUCUUUAAGUGCAAGUGAUGGGAAUUGCUAACCUCGGCUAAGAAAAUUUCAUUUCCCCCAUCCUGCUAAACGGUUCUGGUCGACAUAUGUUUGUUAUCAGAGAGAGGUGCUAUGAACACAGAGCCAUUUUCUUAGCAGCUCUUUGACUCUGUGUUACCAUAGUCCCACACGGCAUUGGUCCUUUCCCGUUGGGAAGUCAUGAAUAAGAGACUAUGAAGCUUGCACGUCAGAUCUUCCUCAAUUAAUCCACCAUUAGCAUGUUUGGGAUCCUCUACUGGAUGGUUAACAGCAGCUUUGGUAACUGUAUGCUGUCCAUACCCAAUUAUGCUCUGCUAAAAAUGAACUCUGCAGAACAACCUUCCUGAGCUGUCAGUGUCUCCCGUUUUCCUAUUUUAACGCUUGUGUGUAGUGGCAGGCGACAGAUGGUGUAGAUCAGAUCGAUUUGAUUGCAUUAGGCGAUUUUUUUUUCCUCCUCUCCCCCCCGACUCCUUUUCUGGAAGCCCACAUUCAUCUGAGAGGCGAUCGCCGGGGACAUGGGAAGCAAGAGCAGCCGCCGAUGUGUGAAAGCAACGAGACAUGGCCAGCCAGAGGCGCCGGGGUCCCUUCAUGGGGUUUGUUAACAUGGUAAUCCGGCACCAGGAGAGAAAGCUGCUUUCUGCUGCCCAGAGCCCAUUCCCCAUCACACAUCAGAUGACUCCCUGGUUUUACACACAGUUGGAGUUCUGCUCGAAACCUGGAUUUAAAGGGAAUCUGUUGCUGCGUAUGACAUCUCUUGCAAGCUCCCAGAGAGAAUUGAUGGAGCAUACAGCUAGGGAAUAGGAUACCAGAGAAGCACAGAGGAAGAAACCAGGCAAUCACCAGGAUGGAAAGGUUCAGCAUCCAUUGGAUAUGGGACAAGUUCGCUCGGCAACCCUUGUGGAUUCUCCUUCUUCUAGAGGCGAAUUAUAGUUAUGGAUUUAUUGUCCCGGUGCCGCACUUCCACCACCACCACCAGCAACAGCAGCAGCUUUCUGACUCUCUUCGGUGACGGGUGAGCCUUGGACUCUGCCUACGGUCUGUGCUCCCAGAUGUCAGCCUAUGACAGCAGAUGGAGGGACACCCGGAGCUCUGCUUCCCCCAGGCACUGCACUGGGCAUUUGCUGCUCCCAGAGCUGCCGCACGCCAUGGGACCCCCAGCUGCCGGAUGCCUGAUCCAGCUCGACUGCUGGUGGAGAUGUGUUGGGGCUGGCUUUGCCCUGCUUGCUGCUGCCUGCAUGCCUUAUUCUUCUGACUUAUGCCCCAGCCCAUUCCCAUCCCAUUGUGCUGCUGCCUCUGGGCUGUAUUGAGUUUUCAAUUAUCACAAUAUACAAUGCAGAUGCUAUGUAAAACAGCCAGCAUCGCUGGAGCACGCUGAACUCAGUAGAAACACAGUUAAAUAAAAGUAAUACUAUAAUACCAGGAGGCUGAUUGGAACCACAAGAUACCAGUGUCAUAUCCUGUGGCUUUUAUGUUGGUAGACAUAGAUUUUAGCCAUUAGAGUCUAGCUCUCCAACAGAUAACAACCAGAGGAAAUGGGUCUGGGUAUCUUCAAUUGUGAAUAACUGAUACACAUUUGCCAAUAAAUGGAGGACUUGGUAAACUGCCAGAUGAAGAAAACAUUUGACAUACAUACAAAUAUAAUCAAGCAUUUAAUAUGGUGUAGCAUCUAACUAUGUGUAACUUAAAGAAACUCCCUGAUUACACGCAAGAGAGUUCUGACUUCAGACAAGCAAUGUGUGGUUGCACUGUCAACUCCAAAUUCAGGCAAGGAGAUAAACAGCAAGUGUGGAUCUCAACUUAUAUAUUUGUACCAGCAGCAACAAGCUCCAAGAUGACAAUGAUAUUGUAAUAUCUAUGUGGGUGUAAAAUGCUAUGACAAAAGAGGAAGAAAUAAGAAAAAAUACAGUAAUGUCAAGUUUGCCUGUUAAGUUUUACAGAAGCUCAGCAUCCGGAAUUUUAGUAUGUGUUAUGCAGACAAAUGUAAAGAGAGAAACACAUUAACUGUGUUUUUCUCCAAAGCAAAAUGAAAUAAGCAUACAGAGCAAAUUAUUAUAUUUAGUACGCUCAGGGCAAAUUCUAGUUGAGGAUUGUGAAGUAAUUUCAAAAUAUUAAUGAAUUAGCCUCACAGCUAUCUUUCAGGUAGAUAAUAAUGAUAAUUGUUACUACAAAUAAAUAUUAUUAUUAUCAGUCUUGCUCCAAGAAAUGAACAUUGAUGCAUAGAGAAUUUAUGUCUUUGUCCAAAGUCUUUGUUUUACUACUGUAACCACCCUUCUCUAGAACUAUUAUAUAUUAAGAUUAUCCUUUUCCAAAUACUGUGUGUGACACUAUUCACUUUAUAAGGUCUAAAAACCAGCCAACUGAGCUUCCUUGUGAAACAGUGCCAGUGAACAUCUCCAUUUGCAUUUGAAUUCUCAAGCAGCAACAAUCUUGCUUUAAAAAAAAAAAGAAGAAGAAAAAAGGAAUCAUGAAAAUCCGUACAAAAUCUGUCAAGGCCCCAUCUGUGACUGGGUAUCAGAAUAUCACUAAGAAGCUCUGAGAAACAAAGUUCAUUCCAAGUCUAACGCAGAGUGCUUUUCGGUCGAUGAAAUUAAUUCAAGCAGGGGUAAAUGAGGGCAUAUACCAUGAAAAACUGUUCCUCCACUGAGGGUGGAAGGAAAGCAGCAUCGCUGCUAUGUGUGUGGUCUUGGUUUUGGUGCAUGUAGCCAUCUUUAAAUACUAAAGGUUUUACAGGGCAAAAUAAUCAGUGUGCUCAUGACUCCUUUUGAUAGCCAGGUACACCUGCUGCUCUUCUGAGGAGUAUAAGGGAAUGAGUGAUCUCUAGUCCUGACAAGAUGAGGACUUAGAUUACAUAUGAUUGUUGCAAAAAGCAGGCUUUCAUAGCCAGCUACCUGAAGAAAUACAGAAACAAAACUCCACCCUGGCCUUGAAAAUCGCCUACAAACAUAUUUAUUUCCUUCUGAAUGGGAAUAUAUAAAGGUUAGGGACACUUAUUUGUAGGCUAUUUAUACAUCUCCUCUUCAGGAUCUGAAUCUCGCAUAUUAAUGAAUUAACUCUGGGAAACAGGAGAACCAAAACAUUAACACCAUUCUAAUGCACCCUAUUAUUUUUCUUUUCCUUUUUUUAACCGUUAGAGUAUGCAAAUGUUCAGUUAACUGGUCCUCAUGUUUUCUCUUUAUUGAAUCGCUUUCACUACAGCAAAUAAAUAUUCAUAAAGAAAUGUGGACAAUAAAUCAUUUCAAAUAGUUCAAAGCCAUUUUCUUUCUAGACUGCAUAUAUUUUCAGCUGUAACUCGCCUUCAAUAUUUCAUUCAAAAGACAGACUUGUAGAAGGACAAUAGAGAUAAUGUGUCAAGUAGUAAUUAAAACAGGGAGUAAUGAUUAAAACCAUUUUGAUCUACAUUGUGCUCUGCCAGAUUCAUAAUCUCCUGUGUUUGUUAGGAUGGCUUUCUACUUGCUUUUUACUUUCUCUACUUUAGAAACUCAAAAUAAACUUCUGUUUGAAGACAUCGAAGAAAACAAAAGAUUUCAACCCUGAGCUUGUGGGUCCAGAGCCCUUUCCAGUUCUGGAGUUUAGGUAUAUCUUCUGUACCAUCCUAGCAAGAUAAAUGCAAGCAGGCACUAUCCCUCCUGCUGAUACUGGGAAGUAUCACUACUUCUCUGGGAAAUAAAUCCAGAUGCAGAGCAGAAGACAAGGAAGGGCCACCCGUGUGUACAGGUAAAUGUAACCCGUCUCACCAUUUAGAUUUAAGCUAAGAGCUUCAAAAGAAAUAAAAGUUAAAGAUAAGGUUAGCUUAUACAUUUAGGGGUCUUGGUUCAAAUCCAAGUAAGAAUUGUGUUCCUUGUCUUGUAUGUUUUGGUAUUCAUAAACAUAUUUGGCAGAAACUCAUUCUCUUUUCUGAUUUGUUGCUGACUUUAGGCCCUUAUUCAACUUACAUACAGACUUAAAUAAAUCGAUUUAGGAAAGCAUUCCUCUUUGUGUUUAAUCUUGGGCAGACAUUCAACUUUGAAAUCAAUGGGACUUAUGAAUGGCCCUGACCUUUGGGUCUAAAUGGUUGCCAAAUCAGUGCACUGAUAGAAAUAUAUUGGAAAAGAUACUAUCCAUGUAUAAUCAAAAUUUUAGUCUCUACUUUCACAGGAAAAUAACCCAAAGAUAGCACAUUAUUCUGCUCAAGAAAUUAAUUUCAUAGUAUUUACUAGAAAGCCUUAAUUCACAUUUUCUGUUUAUGCCAAAAAUACCAGAUGAACAGUGUUGUUCCUUGAUAGCAUAUCUGUAAUAUUCUUUAAAUGAAAAAAUAAAAUAUAGGAAAAGUCCUGGCACAAAGCGGCAUUCAGAAUUACUUAUUGAUACCUUCUCAAUUGCCCACCACAAGCCAAUCCCUUGGAGGACAGGCAGAUGAAAGGCAAGGCAGAGUAGUUCUGAAAUCCCAUGGACUUGAAGACAGUGGCAUAUGGAAUACCACAUGAAACUCCUCCCUAAGAACAGCAUUUAUAAAGACUGCCUGCCCAGUUUACAUAUGGAAUUUUGAGUGAUCAUAUGUUUUUAUUUCACAAUGAGAAUAGCUAGAAUAAAGACAUGGAUGUUUAUGGUAUCAUAAUGUACAGGUUAAACAAGUGCAAUUAUAGCCAAAUCUAUAAGAUUACAAGAAGUAGUUGGUAAAAUAAUUGAUGCUAUGAUUCUAUGAAAUAAAAUAGUCUUCUUAUUGUUCUUAAA